CCUACGGGAGGCAGCAGUGGGGAAUAUUGGACAAUGGGGGAAACCCUGAUCCAGCGACGCCGCGUGAGUGAAGAAGUAUUUCGGUACGUAAAGCUCUAUCAGCAGGGAAGCAAAUGACGGUACCUGACUAAGAAGCCCCGGCUAACUACGUGCCAGCAGCCGCGGUAAGACGUAGGGGGCAAGCGUUAUCCGGAUUUACUGGGGGUAAAGGGAGCGUAGACGGCAGCGAAAGUCUGGGGUGAAAUGCCGGGGCCCAACCCCGGUCCUGCUGUGGAAACUGGGCAGCUGGAGUGCAGGAGAGGUAAGCGGAAUGCCUGGUGUAGCGGUGAAAUGCGUAGAUAUCAGGCGGAACACCGGCGGCGAAGGCGGCUUACUGG
rnacentral:rRNA from 1 species